rnacentral:rRNA from 1 species
AUACGUAGGUGGCAAGCGUUGUCCGGAUUUACCGGGUGUAAAGGGCGUGUAGGCGGAGAUGCAAGUCAGGAGUGAAAUCUAGGGGCUCAACCCCUAAACUGCUUUUGAAACUGUAUCCCUUGAGUAUCGGAGAGGCAGGCGGAAUUCCUAGCGUAGCGGUGAAAUGCGUAGAUAUUAGGAGGAACACCAGUGGCGAAGGCGGCCUGCUGGACGACAACUGACGCUGAGGCGCGAAAGCGUGGGGAGCAAACAGGAUUAGAUACCCUGGUAGUCCACGCUGUAAACGAUGAAUACUAGGUGUGGGGGGACUGACCCCCUCCGUGCCGCAGUUAACACAAUAAGUAUUCCACCUGGGGAGUACGAUCGCAAGAUUGAAACUCAAAGGAAUUGACGGGG